CGCGCCUGCGCGGCUCCGUUGCUGCAACUUUCAACUUUUGGGAUUCGCUCCCUCGGGGUUCGGGGGGAAUUUGGGGGGAUUUGGGAGCUCCCGGGGGGCGCAGCACCGCCCCUCCCGCCCGGCACCCCCCGAACCUUCAGCCCCGGCCGCGCCAUGGUGUCCUGGAUCCUCAGCCGGGUGGUUGAGCUGCUCUUCGGGAUGCUCUACCCGGCCUACGCCUCCUACAAGGCGGUGAAGACGAAAAACAUCCGGGAAUAUGUCCGAUGGAUGAUGUACUGGAUCGUCUUCGCUUUCUUCAUGACCGCAGAGACCUUCACCGACGUCCUCAUCUCCUGGCUCCCCUUCUACUACGAGGUGAAGAUGGCUUUUAUCAUCUGGCUGCUGUCCCCGUACACGCGGGGGGCCAGCCUGCUCUACCGCCGCUUCGUGCACCCCACGCUGGCCCGCAGGGAGAAGGACAUCGACGCGUUCCUGGUCCGUGCCCGCGAGCGCAGCUACGAGACCGCGCUGAGCUUCGGCAAGAGGGGCCUCAACCUGGCGGCCACUGCUGCUGUCCAGGCAGCCACCAAGAGCCAGGGCGCGCUGGCCGGGCGGCUCCGCAGCUUCAGCGUGCACGACCUGCGCUCCCUGACCGAGCAGGCCCCCGUGCACUUCCAGGACCCACUGUACCUGGAGGAGCAGGAGAGCCUCCAGCAGCCCAUGGGGCUCCUGCCGCCUCAAGCGCAGCCGGACCAGGAGGAGAGCGGCUCUGUCGGAGCAGGAGAGCUGAGAAUGCCAGGAAACUCUGCCAGGAGGCUGGACAGGAAUUUGCUGCUGUGGCAUCAGGAGGGACCUGUGGCUCUUGGCAUCCCCUGGGGAGGCUCCUGGCGUCCCCAGGGUGGCACCUGCACUGCUGGGGAGGCUCCUGGCAUCCCUGAGGAGGCUCCUUGUGUCCCCAGGGUGGCUCUUGGCAUCCCCUGGGGAGGCUCCUGCACCCCUGGGGAGGCUUCUUGUGUCCCCUGGGUGACUCCUGCACCCCUGAGGAGGCUCCUGGCGUCCCCAGGGUGGCUCCUGGCAUCCCCAGGGUGGCUCCUGGCAUCCCCAGGGUGGCUCUUGGCAUCCCUGGGGAGGCUCCUGGACCCUUGGGGAGGCUCCUCCACCCCUGGGAUCCUCCCACUGUAAAUCCCUUCCCCGUGGCCCCUGGAGGAGGGGGAGCAGCUCACCCCCAGCCCCCCCAGCUCGGCGCUGGCGCCUCUCCUGUGGGGUCUGGCCCCUCCUUUUCCCCCAUGCCAUGAACACUACAGGCUCCCCCCCUCUCCUGCUGCCAUGGUGCCUUGUUCACAACAUUCCCGUUCCCCUGGGAGCCAGCAGUGCCUUGUCCCUCUGAAGCCAAAGCCACGGGCCCUGCCUGGGCCCCCCACCAGACACACACUGACACCCCCAUACUUGAGCCCAGAGCACUGGGCAGCACACAGCUUUUAACAUUCCCCUCUCCCAAAAAGAGGGUUUUGUACCUGGAGAAAUAAAUGUUUGUUUCAGACUUUGGGAGGCAGGUGUUGUCCCCAGUGCUGUCCCCUUCCACAGAAGCUUCCUGAGAUUGGUUUUGCUCUUAGAGGAAGCUCUGGAAUCCACCUGAGACUCCUCCAGGGCUUCUCCCAGAGUGUUUCCAUCAUUGUUCCAGGAUCCCAGGUACAGGCUCAGACUCUUCCAGGAAAGUUUCCUGAGAUUUUUUCCUUUGGAGGAAGCUGUACCCUCAAGGAUCCAUCCAAGAUCCCUCCAGGCAUCUCCCAGAGCCUUUCUCUCACAUUUCAGGUUCCAGAAUCCCCCAUAGCACUCACCAAUUCCUCCAAGAAAGUUUCCUGAGAUUUUUUCCUUUGGAGGAAGCUGUUCCCUCAGGGAUCCACCAGACAUCUCCCAGAGCCUUUCCCCACAUUUCAGGUUCCAGAAUCUCAGAUAGCAUUCCCUAAGUCCUCCAGGGAAACUUCCUGUGUUUUUUUUUCCUUUGGAGGAAGCUGUACCCUCAAGGAUCCAUCCAAGACUCCCUCCAGACAUCUCCCAGAUCAUUCCUCCACAUUUCAGGUUCCAGAAUCCCUGAUAGCAUCCCCUAAGUCCUCCAGGGAAGCUUCCUGAGAUUUUUUUCCUUUGGAGGAAACUGUACCCUCAAGGAUCCAUCCAAGACUCCAUCCAGACAUCUCCCAGAGCCUUUCCCC